UUAUCCGGAUUUAUUGGGUUUAAAGGGAGCGUAGGCGGACGUUUAAGUCAGUUGUGAAAGUUUGCGGCUCAACCGUAAAAUUGCAGUUGAUACUGGGUGUCUUGAGUACAGUAGAGGCAGGCGGAAUUCGUGGUGUAGCGGUGAAAUGCUUAGAUAUCACGAAGAACUCCGAUUGCGAAGGCAGCUUGCUGGACUGUAACUGACGCUGAUGCUCGAAAGUGUGGGUAUCAAACAGGAUUAGAUACCCUGGUAGUCCACACAGUAAACGAUGAAUACUCGCUGUUUGCGAUAUACAGUAAGCGGCCAAGCGAAAGCGUUAAGUAUUCCACCUGGGGAGUACGCCGGCAACGGUGAAACUCAAAGGAAUUGACGGGGGCCCGCACAAGCGGAGGAACAUGUGGUUUAAUUC
rnacentral:rRNA from 1 species